rnacentral:rRNA from 1 species
GUCUCAGUUCGGAUUGGAGUCUGCAACCCGACUCCAUGAAGCUGGAUUCGCUAGUAAUCGCGCAUCAGCCACGGCGCGGUGAAUACGUUCCCGGGCCUUGUACACACCGCCCGUCAAGCCAUGGAAGCCGGGGGUGCCUGAAGUGCGCUGCCGCGAGGAGCGCCCUAGGGUAAAACCGGUGACUGGGGCUAAGUCGUAACAAGGUAAC